ACCUUCGUGGUGUAAUGGUCAGCAGGCUCGACGUGUAUUCGAGAGGUCCGUGGUUCGAGUCCCGGCGAGGGCA
rnacentral:tRNA from 1 species